ACGAACGCUGGCGGCAUGCCUAACACAUGCAAGUCGAACGAGACCUUCGGUUCUAGUGGCGCACGGGUGCGUAACGCGUGGGAACCUGCCCUUAGGUUCGGAAUAACUCCCCGAAAGGGGUGCUAAUACCGGAUAAUGUCUUCGGACCAAAGAUUUAUCGCCUUUGGAUGGGCCCGCGUUGGAUUAGCUAGUUGGUAGGGUAAAAGCCUACCAAGGCGACGAUCCAUAGCUGGUCUGAGAGGAUGAUCAGCCACACUGGGACUGAGACACGGCCCAGACUCCUACGGGAGGCAGCAGUGGGGAAUAUUGGACAAUGGGCGAAAGCCUGAUCCAGCAAUGCCGCGUGAGUGAUGAAGGCCUUAGGGUUGUAAAGCUCUUUUACCCGGGAUGAUAAUGACAGUACCGGGAGAAUAAGCUCCGGCUAACUCCGUG
rnacentral:rRNA from 1 species